UUGUUAUUGUAACAAGGGACGGUUAGUUGUUUUUUAAACGAGCAUUUUAACGUCUACGUCUUGAGAAAAACAGCCAAAACAGCAUACAAGUACUGUAUGUUGACAUUUAGAUUUAAAUAUGAUAUUUUAAAAGCAUACAUUUCAUAAGAGGAAAUUAGAUUCUGCCAAAGUGCAUUAUGGGUAUGCAAAUAUGAUCCAACCCUGCAGCGCGGUUUCCACCCAACAGUAUUGCUCAACCCCAAGGUAUUCGUUUUCCGUUUCUAUUUUUUUGUCCCUCUCUAUUUUUAGCCGGUUUCAAGGAUUUCCGCCCCGUACAGAGGAUCGCCUUCAAAAAGAAGACGAGCGUUCCCACUCCAGCGCCGUGUUGGUGUCACUUACACUCCCAACUUCUGCUGUCUGAAGGAAACCCGACUCCACGGAGCCGACUAGACUCAGCAGAAAGACGAACUGAAUGUAGAACCACCUUUCAAGGUUGUGACAGCAGUUGUGAAGGAUUCAGAAGACAGUUAUUCGAAUCUUAUCCCACACUGAGUGAGGGUGGUGGAUUUUAACUAAUGAAGAUUUCAGGAUCUAUGAGAAGCCAGAUCUUGGCUGUUAUUCCUUGCCCUAAUGAGGGGUACUCAGCAAAAUAUUUAAGGGACCCAGAAACCCAAAUUUGGCUCUGUCAUUAUCUAUGUAAGGCCGCUACAAAGAGGUCUUAAUAUGGAUCAGGUAAGAGCUUAUUGUUUUUUUCUUUGAUUGUUUCUUAGUGCUGGUAAAUUCUUAUUAUUCAUCCAUCUUCUUUGGUGGGUUUUCAGGGUUCCACAUGUUCAUUCAGCUGUAGUGUAACAUUGCAUUUGCAGUGAAUGACGUGUCUGCUGCAAUUCAUUUAGUAGGUUCCUGGGCUGUCCUUAUCCACUGGGCCCCUGAUGAAGUGCCUCUUUUGUGAGAAAGACUUUUCCUUCUCAGAAAUAAAGUCACAGUGACGGCUGUAGCAGCAGGUAUAGUGUUUUUGUUAAUGUAAUUGGUCAUUGUUAAAUACAGUACAUUAACUAUUUUGAAAGGUUUAUUUGCAGUAAAAUGAUGAAAUAUGCGUAUAGUGGUUUUCAGGAAAUGUUUAUGCUAAUGUAGUCUUACAAAAAUAAAUGUAUUGGUCUCGUUAAAUGUUUUCAAAAUGAAUAAAAGCUGAUUGGCUGUGUUUUGAUGUAAUAUAAUUUAAGUCGUGGUUAUAAUCAUUGUUUUGCUGCACUUCAUGGAUACAUAUGUCAAGUUCUUAUUACCUGUUGUCAUAUACCAAAGGAACUUUUUGAUGAACAUUCUCACAGUGAUCUGACAAUGUGUUGGUCCUGCAUAUGCUUGUGAUCAUUUGUCCUUAAUUGUCUUUGUUUUGCUGUGUCUUCUUAGUUAAUUACUUCAUGUGAAACUUAUGGUUUAAAAUGUAUUGUCUUCAAGGCCUUCAUUUCAGAGCACAGACAGUAGUGUAGUGGAAGGAGUAGGUGAGACUCAGAGUUCAGAGGUGCCCACUGCAACAGUAACUUGUGUGCUGCUGAAUUCUGAUGAGCUGCUACAGGAGUGUAUUCCGGAUAGACCAAGUGAAAUAAUAGACAGCAAUAGGGAUGCAGGAGUAGACAGGGCAGUCUUCGUUGACAGCAGAGAGACUGAGGACGGUUUGUGAAUUAAAUUAUUUGAAUUAAUUUUAUGUGUUGAAUGAAAUAAGCUGACACCUUUCUGUUUUUCAAUGGGUAUGUUUUAUUUCUUUUCAGAAUGUGAAAUCAUGGCAAAUUUGUUCAGGGAGGCUGUAUUGAAGCAGCAUGGAACUGCUAAACCACUCCAUCUAAGAAUGGAUUUGCGAGACCGCAUGGAGAAUAGAGAGAGGGACAUUUUGUCAUUUUAUAAAAUGUCCAAAGUAGAAUGGGCCUGUCCUUUAAAAUGCACACUUGAAGAAAUCACUGACAGAACUUUUAAUGUUUGAAGGAGAACCUGACCAUUUAAUUCCCUCCACAUCUGAGUUCCUUCUCGAGAGUGACAUGUUUCACGUUGCUGGGCGAAUGAUUGGACAUUCUUUCCUGCACAGUGGUCCAAGCUUAGCUGGAUUGAGUCCCGCAAUUAUCCAUGUGUUGCUUGGAGGUGCACCAGAAACCGCCAAUCUGGAGAGUCACGAUUGUCCUGAUAUUGAUGUUCACGAAACUGUCAAAUUAAAGGAGUCCAAAGCAGUUCUCAGUGAAGAAGACACAAGCAUAAUACUGCAAUUGGCAUUAAGCUGGGAUCUUCCAGGGAUGGCAGAAGAAAAUCGGCAUUGGCUAAUGGACAAACUCCUCCUUCACGCUAUGAUCCUUGAAAGAAUCACCUGGCCACACUGAAUGUGGCGGAAGAUGAUGAUGAUGAUGAUGAUGAUGAUGAUGAUGAUGAUGAUGACUGUUCUCUUGAGACUAAAUGCCGUAUCACAGGCUUCUUCAGGACAUUCAUUGAGAUGCAUCACCAAGAGCGCUGAUUGAUCUCCUCAGAUUCUGGGUUGGAUGGGAGGUCCUCCCGAAGGAGCUGUCUGUUGAGGUCACAGAUACCAAACUGCCCAAAGCAUCCACCUGUUUCGAAACCAUUAAAUUACCCAGACACGACUUUCACUACUCAUCAUUUGAGGAGGAUCUUCUUUCCUGUAUACAUACUGUGGACACCGGCUUUGGACUUGUCUAAUUUAGAAUUCCGCCAUGAGAAAUCUGUUUGAACUCCUUCAGGGGCCAAUUAAAAUAUACAACAUAAUUGAUUUGACAACUAGAAAUAUAACAUGACAAAGUAAAAAAAAAAACAUCCAGGUUAAUGUUCUGCUAUAUUAUUAUUCUUAUUAUUAUUAUUAUUAUUAUUAUUUAUUUCUUAGCAGAUGCCAUUAUCCAGGGCGACUUACAGUUGUAAACAAAAAUACAUUUAAGGAAUCACAGUACAAGUAAUAAUACAAUUAUGUAAAUACUAAAUGUACUAAGAAAGAAAUUCAAAUGAACGACUGGCAAUUUUAUUAGGCCAUUUUAUUAUUUUGAUUACAAUAAAUAAUGCACUGAUUCUCAAAAUGUUUCUUUUUUUGGGGGGGGGGAACAACACUUUUUUUUUCUUUUAAAAUACUUGCUUAUGUUUGUGAAAACAUCUGUUAAAUAUCAACAUAAGCACAGGUACUAUUGUCAUUUAUUUAACAAAGUCAGUGCUAUGCAGACUCAGUGACAAAAAAUACAGCUGUCCCAAACAAUAAAAACAAUCGUCAAA